GGAUGUGAGGGUGAUCUGGCUGCGACAUCUGUCACUCCAUUGAUCGCCAGGGUUGAUUUGGCUGAUCUGGCUGGCUAAGCGGGUGUCCCCUUCCUCCCUCACCACUCCAUGUGCAUCCCUCCUGAAGCUGUGCGCCCAGUCGAAGAGGACAACCAUCUCCGAUAGAGGAGGACCCUUUUUCUCGGUCAAGGGUAUACGAGUAGCUGCUACCCCCUGCUAGAACCUCCAAACGAGCUCUCAGGAAUCCCAGAAGCUUGCCAUAGCUGUAUGCAAAAAUGGUCCCCAUCAGUGUCCUUCCCAU
rnacentral:snRNA from 1 species